rnacentral:rRNA from 1 species
GUGAGGAAUAUUGCGCAAUGGAGGCAACUCUGACGCAGCCAUGCCGCGUGCAGGAAGAAGGCGCUACGCGUUGUAAACUGCUUUUAACCGGGAAGAAACCCCAGGACGUGUCCUGGGUUGACGGUACCGGAGGAAUAAGCACCGGCUAACUUCGUGCCAGCAGCCGCGGUAAUACGAACGGUGCAAGCGUUAUCCGGAUUCUUUGGGUUUAAAGGGUGCGUAGGCGGAGCGUUAAGUCAGUGGUGAAAUCCUGCAGCUUAACUGUAGACUUGCAAUUGAUACUGGCGCUCUUGAGUGCGCUUGAAGUGGGCGGAAUGUGCCGUGUAGCGGUGAAAUGCUUAGAUAUGGCACAGAACACCAAUUGCGAAGGCAGCUCACUAAGGCGAUACUGACGCUGAGGCACGAAAGCGUGGGGAUCGAACAGGAUUAGAAACCCGGGUAGUCC